rnacentral:rRNA from 1 species
UCUAAUACCGGAUACGAGUCGCGGAGGCAUCUCCGAGACUGGAAAGCUCCGGCGGUGAAGGAUGAGCCCGCGGCCUAUCAGCUUGUUGGUGAGGUAACGGCUCACCAAGGCGACGACGGG